CCUACGGGAGGCAGCAGUGGGGAAUAUUGCGCAAUGGGCGAAAGCCUGACGCAGCGACGCCGCGUGAGGGAUGAAGGUCUUCGGAUCGUAAACCUCUGUCAGUAGGGAAGUACGGUCACUGUGCUAAUCAGCAGUGAAUUGACGGUACCUGCAAAGGAAGCACCGGCUAACUCCGUGCCAGCAGCCGCGGUAAUACGGAGGGUGCGAGCGUUAAUCGGAAUUACUGGGCGUAAAGCGCUCGUAGGCGGUAUGUCAAGUCAAGGGUGAAAUCCCCGGGCUCAACGUGGGAACUGCCUUUGAAACUGGCAAACUGGAGUGUGUGAGAGGAUAGUGGAAUUCGAGGUGUAGGAGUGAAAUGCGUAGAUAUCUGGAGGAACAUCAGUGGCGAAGGCGACUAUCUGGCACAUAACUGACGCUGAGGAGCGAAAGCGUGGGUAGCAAACAGGAUUAGAUACCCGAGUAGUC
rnacentral:rRNA from 1 species